GUAGGUGGCAAGCGUUGUCCGGAAUUAUUGGGCGUAAAGCGCGCGCAGGCGGUUCUUUAAGUCUGAUGUGAAAGCCCACGGCUCAACCGUGGAGGGUCAUUGGAAACUGGAGAACUUGAGUACAGAAGAGGAAAGCGGAAUUCCACGUGUAGCGGUGAAAUGCGUAGAGAUGUGGAGGAACACCAGUGGCGAAGGCGGUCUUUCUGGUCGUGUAACUGACGCUGAGGCGCGAAAGCGUGGGAGCAAACAGGAUUAGAUACCCUGGUAGUCCACGCCGUAAACGAUGAGUGCUAAGUGGUUAGGGGGUUUCCGCCCCCCUUAGUGCUGCAGCUAACGCAUUAAGCACUACGCCUGGGAGUACGGCCGCAAGGCUG
rnacentral:rRNA from 1 species